rnacentral:rRNA from 1 species
GACGAACGCUGGCGGCGUGCUUAACACAUGCAAGUCGAACGGAAAGGCCCUGCUUUUGUGGGGUGCUCGAGUGGCGAACGGGUGAGUAACACGUGAGUAACCUGCCCUUGACUUUGGGAUAACUUCAGGAAACUGGGGCUAAUACCGGAUAGGAGCUCCUGCUGCAUGGUGGGGGUUGGAAAGUUUCGGCGGUUGGGGAUGGACUCGCGGCUUAUCAGCUUGUUGGUGGGGUAGUGGCUUACCAAGGCUUUGACGGGUAGCCGGCCUGAGAGGGUGACCGGCCACAUUGGGGCUGAGGUACGGCCCAGACUCCUACGGGAGGCAGCAGUGGGGAAUAUUGCACAAUGGGCGGAAGCCUGAUGCAGCAACGCCGCGUGCGGGAUGACGGCCUUCGGGUUGUAAACCGCUUUCGCCUGUGACGAAGCGUGAGUGACGGUAAUGGGUAAAGAAGCACCGGCUAACUACGUG